AGAGUUUGAUCCUGGCUCAGAUUGAACGCUGGCGGAAUGCUUUACACAUGCAAGUCGAACGGCAGCACGGGAGCUUGCUCCUGGUGGCGAGUGGCGARCGGGUGAGUAAUGCGUCGGAACGUACCGAGUAAUGGGGGAUAACGCAGCGAAAGCUGUGCUAAUACCGCAUACGCCCUGAGGGGGAAAGUGGGGGAUCGCAAGACCUCACGUUAUUCGAGCGGCCGACGUCUGAUUAGCUAGUUGGUGGGGUAAUGGCCUACCAAGGCGACGAUCAGUAGCGGGUCUGAGAGGAUGAUCCGCCACACUGGAACUGAGACACGGUCCAGACUCCUACGGGAGGCAGCAGUGGGGAAUUUUGGACAAUGGGGGCAACCCUGAUCCAGCCAUUCCGCGUGAGUGAAGAAGGCCUUCKGGUUGUAAAGCUCUUUCAGCUGGAACGAAACGGUACGCUCUAACAUAGCGUGCUAAUGACGGUACCGGCAGAAGAAGCACCGGCUAACUACGUGCCAGCAGCCGCGGUAAUACGUAGGGUGCGAGCGUUAAUCGGAAUUACUGGGCGUAAAGCGUGCGCAGGCGGAUUGUUAAGCAAGAUGUGAAAUCCCCGGGCUUAACCUGGGAAUGGCAUUUUGAACUGGCAGUCUAGAGUGCGUCAGAGGGGGGUGGAAUWCCACGUGUAGCAGUGAAAUGCGUAGAGAUGUGGAGGAACACCAAUGGCGAAGGCAGCCCCCUGGGAUGACACUGACGCUCAUGUACGAAAGCGUGGGUAGCAAACAGGAUUAGAUACCCUGGUAGUCC
rnacentral:rRNA from 1 species